AUGACCUCAAAUCAGGUAGGGAUACCCGCUGAACUUAAGCAUAUCAAUAAGCGGAGGAAAAGAAACCAACAGGGAUUGCCUUAGUAACGGCGAGUGAAGCGGCAAAAGCUCAGAUUUGAAAUCUGGUGUCAAAUUGAUACCCGAGUUGUAAUCUGUAGAGGAGUUUUUCGGAGUAUGGCUUUGGUUAAAGUUCCUUGGAAAAGGGCAUCAUAGAGGGUGAGAAUCCUGUUUAUGACCUGUGUCUGUCUCCAUUAUGAAUCUCCUUCAAUGAGUCGAGUUGUUUGGGAAUGCAGCUCUAAAUGGGUGGUAAAUUCCAUCUAAAGCUAAAUAUUGGCAAGAGACCGAUAGCGCACAAGUAGAGUGAUCGAAAGAUGAAAAGAACUCUGAACAGAGAGUUAAAGAGUACGUGAAAUUGUUGAAAGGGAAGCACUUGUGACCAGACAAAUUUACAGUUAAUCAGCCAUCAAUUUUUGGUGGUGCACUUAAUUGUAGGUGGGUCAGCAUCAGUUAUAGUAGUGGAACAAAGAUCAAAGGAAUGUAGCUCCUCUUUGAGGAGUGUUAUAGCCUUUGGUUCAAUACCGCUUGCCAUGACUGAGGAUAGCACUUCCAGUAAGGAUGCUGACAUAAUGGUCAUAACUGACCCGUCUUGAAACACGGACCAAGGAGUCUAACA
rnacentral:rRNA from 1 species